rnacentral:rRNA from 1 species
UACGGAGGGUGCAAGCGUUGUUCGGAAUCAUUGGGCGUAAGGGCGCGUAGGCGGACCUGCAAGUCGAUUGUGAAAUCCCUGGGCUUAACCCGGGAAUUGCAGUCGAAACUGCCGGUCUUGAAUGCUCGAGAGGAUGGUGGAAUUCCUGGUGUAGAAGUGAAAGUCGUAGAUAUCAGGAGGAACACCGGAGGCGAAGGCGGCCAUCUGGCGAGACAUUGACGCUGAGGCGCGAAAGCGUGGGGAUCAAACAGG